CAGCAAGAAAACGUCAACUAUAAUCAGUCAACAAGAAAACAGUCAACCAUAAACAGUCAACACCAAAACAGUCAACAAGAAAACAGUCAGCAAGAAAACAGUCAACAAGAAAACAGUCAACAAGAAAACAGUCAGCAAGAAAACGUCAACCAUAAUCAGUCAACAAGAAAACAGUCAGCAAAAAACAGUCAACCAUAAACAGUCAACAAGAAAACAGUCAGCAAGAAAACGUCAACCAUAAACAGCCAACAAAAAACAGUCAACAAGAAAACAGUCAACAAAAAACAGUCAACAAAAAACAGUCAGCAAGAUAACAGUCAACAAGAAAACAGUCAGCAAGAAAACGUCAACCAUAAUCAGUCAACAAGAAAACAGUCAACAAGAAAACAGUCAACCAUAAACAGUCAACAAGAAAACAGUCAACAAGAAAACGUCAACCAUAAACAGUCAACAAAAAACAGUCAACAAGAAAACAGUCAGCAAAAAACAGUCAACAAGAAAACAGUCAACAAGAAAACAGUCAACCAUAAACAGUCAACAAGAAAACAGUCAGCAAGAAAACGUCAACCAUAAACAGUCAACAAAAAACAGUCAACAAAAAACAGUCAACAAGAAAACGUCAACUAUAAUCAGUCAACAAGAAAACAGUCAACCAUAAACAGUCAACACCAAAACAGUCAACAAGAAAACAGUCAGCAAGAAAACAGUCAGCAAGAAAACAGUCAACAAGAAAACAGUCAGCAAGAAAACGUCAACCAUAAUCAGUCAACAAGAAAACAGUCAGCAAAAAACAGUCAACCAUAAACAGUCAACAAGAAAACAGUCAGCAAGAAAACGUCAACCAUAAACAGCCAACAAAAAACAGUCAACAAGAAAACAGUCAACAAAAAACAGUCAACAAAAAACAGUCAGCAAGAUAACAGUCAACAAGAAAACAGUCAGCAAGAAAACGUCAACUAUAAUCAGUCAACAAGAAAACAGUCAACCAUAAACAGUCAACACCAAAACAGUCAACAAAAAACAGUCAGCAAGAAAACGUCAACCAUAAACAGCCAACAAAAAACAGUCAACAAGAAAACAGUCAACAAAAAACAGUCAACAAAAAACAGUCAGCAAGAUAACAGUCAACAAGAAAACAGUCAGCAAGAAAACGUCAACUAUAAUCAGUCAACAAGAAAACAGUCAACCAUAAACAGUCAACACCAAAACAGUCAACAAAAAACAGUCAGCAAGAUAACAGUCAACAAGAAAACAGUCAGCAAGAAAACGUCAACUAUAAUCAGUCAACAAGAAAACAGUCAACCAUAAACAGUCAACACCAAAACAGUCAACAAGAAAACAGUCAGCAAGAAAACAGUCAGCAAGAAAACAGUCAGCAAGAAAACGUCAACCAUAAUCAGUCAACAAGAAAACAGUCAGCAAAAAACAGUCAACCAUAAACAGUCAACAAGAAAACAGUCAGCAAGAAAACGUCAACCAUAAACAGCCAACAAAAAACAGUCAACAAGAAAACAG